UACGAAGGGGGCGAGCGUUGCUCGGAAUUACUGGGCGUAAAGGGCGCGUAGGCGGCGACUCUAGUCAGAUGUGAAAGUCCUGGGCUUAACCUGGGGACUGCAUUUGAUACUGGGUUGCUUGAAUUCGGGAGAGGAUAGCGGAAUUCCCAGUGUAGAGGUGAAAUUCGUAGAUAUUGGGAAGAACACCGGUGGCGAAGGCGGCUAUCUGGACCGACAUUGACGCUGAGGCGCGAAAGCGUGGGGAGCAAACAGG
rnacentral:rRNA from 1 species